rnacentral:rRNA from 1 species
GACCUACGGGACGCAGCAGUCGGGAAUAUUGCGCAAUGGAGGAAACUCUGACGCAGUGACGCCGCGUAUAGGAAGGAGGUUUUCGGAUUGUAAACUAUUGUCGAUAGGGAAGAAAAAAGACUGUACCUAUCAAGAAAGCUCCGGCUAACUACGUGCCAGCAGCCGCGGUAAUACGUAGGGGGCAAGCGUUAUCCGGAAUUACUGGGUGUAAAGGGAGCGUAGACGGUGAUGCAAGUCUGGAGUGAAAGGCGGGGGCCCAACCCCCGGACUGCUCUGGAAACUGUGUAACUUGAGUGCAG